ensembl:lncRNA LINC00635 long intergenic non-protein coding RNA 635
AUAGCAACAGCAGCGUAGCUGAACAUCUUACGGAUGGCCCAGGGCUCCAAAGGCUCGUUUCCUAAGUGAGAGAGAGCCUGGCUGAAGCUGUAUUACCAUUCAUUCUCCAGCCUCCGAAGUCUCAAAGCAUCACUUCCACCAUACUCUAACUGUCAAGACAAACACAAAGGCCCAGAAAGAAGAAUACACUAUCGAUGUUCCUUUUAAACAAGUAUUUGAGUAAAAGCGAUGUUUCCAAUGUGUGUCAGAAAGUGAAUACUUGUAUAUUUCCGCACGGUUAGAGCUGAGCUUUCCGAGCAAAUUUUACUGGGACCCGGUUGAAAGACAGGUCUUGGAAGUGAAAUGAUGACUGACUAGAUGAAACUGCCAGACUGUCUUCUGAAGUGGCUAUAAUAUUUACACUCCCAUCAGCAGUGUAGAAGGGGUCUCACUAUGUUGUCUGGAGUGCUGUGGUGGAGUGGAGUGGCUAUUCACAGCUGAGUUUGCAGAGUAAACCACUACCCUGAAAUCUGGAAAGGCAGGUGCACCCACAGAUCCUCAGCUGAGAUCCAAUUACCUGAAAUAGAAGCUGCCAUUAGGAACACUUAAAAGAGCCUGUUCUGCUGGGACACAGAAUCACUUGCUCCAUCUCAUACAUUGAUGAUGAUUAAUUUGUAUGUGUACCUUCCAAAAAAGAUGGUUGUGUUUGAAUGGAGGCCUUCUGGACAGGAAAAUUGCAAAGUACAAUUAACAUUUGAGUCUGUCUGAGUCAUGAAGAAAUGGAGAUUACUGAAAAUAAUUCAUUUUGGUAUCUUCUUACAUCCUGAGAGACUAAUCUUUCCAAGUUCAUCUGAGGCUCCUCUUCUCCAUGACAACCUCAUCCAGGGAUUUCUUCCUGUCCUGGUGUUUUAUGACAUCAUCCUCAUCUCGCUUGUAAGGAUAAUAGCCUUCCUCCAAACCUCACACACUUUUGGAGGAGAUCACUUUUUUUAAAGUGCAUGGAAAUGUUUUGAAACAGUGAAAUCUAUAAUGAUAGGUUUCAUAAUUCUAACAUCCACACCAUAUGAAUCACAUCCUUCCUGAGAUAAUGAGCACACAAUUGCCUGGAUACCUGAAGGAAUGGAGACAGCGGCAGAAAACACUGCAGAGAGGUGGAAACAUCCGUUAAUAUUUUAAAAUCCCAUUACUGCUACCAACAAUAAUAAUGGAUGCAUAGAAAUAGAUCUGGAUUAGCUGAGCUUGAAACAGUCCAUCUCACACACACACAAAAGAAUUUCAGAUACAGUGAACCCACAUGUUGAAGCUUUCUAGUAUAAUAAAAAUUUCAACUGUUCUGUUGAAUCAUCUGCCUGAUUGGAGGCUACAGAAAAGAUGUCAUCUUAGGAGUGCUUGCUCUGAGUGAGGCUCAUCUUCAAAUCUGAAUGACCACAAGGAGAUUUGAUUAUACAUGUGAACACCUCAGAAGGCACAGCCCACCCAGAAGGCAGACAGGUCAGGCUGCUUUUUCUUCAUUGCUUGGAUUCAAUCCUCCGGGCGGCUCAGGCUCAAACAUAACUUAAGCAUGAUUAAACUUUAGAAGAAGCUGCCAGGAAGACUGUGAAAUCUUCAUGCCCAAGGAUCCCUAAAAUUAGGAGCAACAACCACUUGGCUCAGACGGUUUAUGGAGGCAAAGGUUUGGAUGGGAUUAGAGAUUUCUAAAUGUGAGUUCGUGUCCUCUGCCAGACCACCUUACUUCCACCAUUCCUCAGCAAAUCAAGAAAAACAGGAGAAAAGACAUGCCUUUCCAUAAGUUAAAUCUAUUCUGUUUUAAUUCUAUAUUAUAUCUGCUGUACAACUUCUUUUGUUUGUAACACCAUAUUGUUGCUAGUAACUGGAAAUUAAUUUUCACAUGCCUCAGCUUAGAAAAAUAAAAAGCAGCCCUGCAUCAAUCCCAA